rnacentral:lncRNA from 1 species
CUAACGGUAAGGGUAUUUUUGACCCCAAAAUCAAACGGAGGGUACAUUUGAUCCAUUUCCAAUUGUUCAGGGAUAUUUUUGACCCUUUUCCGAAAAAUUACUUCUACUUUUUAUGACUAUACAGGUCCGUAAUCCUAAUAUUGAUUAUUUAAUAUUCUUUUAUGUAUUUCUUUUCUUUUCUUCGUCUUUCCCUCAAUUCAAUCACCUUCUUCCUUCAAAUUACUGUUCAUUGGUGUUCUCGGUUAGAUUUAAUAUAUAUAUAUAUAUUAUAUAUAUAUAAUUGUAACUGUUUUUACCAUAUUUGGGGAUGCAUGUUUCUUUCCUAUUUGGUUAUAUUUUGAAAAAUAUUAAUUAAUUGAAAGAAAAUCCAUUAUUUGGAGAGUUUGUGUUCGACACUCUUUUCAGGUUUUGAUCAAUAUUGGCCGUAUGCAGUUAUAAUUUAUGUUUUUUUUUUUUUCUGGAAUAAAUUUGUGGUGAUUGCUAUUAAGCGUAUAAGCGCACUUCACUUUGCACAUCAUGUAUUCGAUAAAAGUCCUGUUCAUAUUUCUAGAACAAAUGUCUAUUGAUUCAAAUCCUUAAUUUCCCUACAAUUGAAAGCGAUGUAUGUUUUAAAGUGCAUGUGCUCAGAGACUUGACAGAGAAUAGAGAUGCAAACAGUUUCACUUUCGAGAAUAAAUCAAAUUGGUUAGCUUUUAUUGUAGCAUGUAGAAGAAAUGCUUGUUGGAUUGUUGCUAUGUCUGCUACAGUUACAAUAGUUGAAGAUAGACUAUCAAGUAUUUGAAUUAAUGUAGAAAAGAGACAUCUAUAUGAUUGAGAGAAGUUGAUAAUCAAGUUGACGUCAAAAGGUUGGUGAUCAAGUGUAAUAUUGAUACAUUCAAACUUACAUCUCAAUUAAGAAGUACAAACGGUCGAAGUCAAUUAUAGAACUCAACUGGAGUUCGUCAACCCCUCCGUAGUCCCACACUUAGACAGUGGUGUCUCCCUUCACUGUUGGUCGUCACGAGCUACUAGACAGCUCGUCUUAAGCACCGGCCAUGGUCCGUCUAGUGCUCCGUUGACUUCAGUUUUCACUUAGGUAGCUAGUGGUUCCACUGUCACUCUCCACGAGCCAUAAGAUGGCUCGUCUAAUGGACCACGGCUCGUCUGGGGCCUCGUGGUGUUAGACUUGAACUCUAUUCUUUCCAAAUCACUCCCACGAGCAUCUUCACGGCUCGUGCAACACUUCACGACUCGUGUAGCCUUUCGUAUAGCUUCUUGCACUUCAUUUCCCAUCUUUCUUCUUGUCCUUUGCAUCUAAGUGUUUCACCUGUACAACAUAAAAGAAACCAUCAUAUCCACAUAAACAAGCUCGACUUCUCACACUAAUCCUUAGUUUUGAGCGUCAAAUGUUCUAUGAGUUCACGACACAUCAACAAAUGAUCAUCAUGAUUCAUGAUUCUUAUGUAAGUGGUCAUGUUUUUGCUGAGUAUUCCGUGCUUGUGAAAAGUAGGAAUUAUGUCGAUCUAGAACAACAAAUUUCCUCUAGCUCCUGUCAUACCUGAGAUUAUACAUGAUGAUCAUCGUGAAACAAAGGGAAUAAUAUCAAAUGUAUCCUCCUCUGCUGCUUGACAGCCUAAGGAGAAGAUGAUCAUGCAAAAAAAUAGCUAGGGGAAAUGUGUUGGCUCUUUAGAGGAGGGUGAAGUGUUCAUGCUCCGAAUUGAGAUCGAACAUAUCUUAGAUUAAUAAUUAGUAUUAAAUUCAUUUUUAAUCUGACAUAUUUUUAUUGAUUUUCUAAAGAAUAUCAGGGCCCGUGGAGUAGAAGUCGAGUUUAUUACUGCACAACUAUGCACAGAGAGUAGAGUUGGAUUUUGCAGGAACUCAGUGCAAGUGUAAGUCCACGGAAUAAGAAAUUCAAUGGUGUUGGUGUUUCUCUGGCUAUUUACCUAUUGACAAUUGCUAAUGUCAUAUCUUAUCAUAUAAUGUUAUGCAACUAUAUUGAUUGUAUAUUUGUGUCAUCUUUUUAGACACUCAGAUAUGAUGGUUGCUACCUUUUUCUUCAGUGGAUCGAGCGUAAGGAU